CUGACUUCCCUCGGUGAUAAGUGUGCCCUGAGAGUUGUAAGAUGAAAUAAAUCCUUUCCUCCCAAGAUGCCUUUGGUCUUGGUGUUUUAUCACAGUAGAAAAGUAACUAAGUUUGCUAGUGCAGCUCACAGAACUCAAGAAAACAUUUACGGUUUUGUUUUUUAAGGAUAUAAACAGCCAGAAGAGAUUGAUAGGCCAAUGCCUGGAAAAGAUGCUACCUACCUACAGUCUCUGUCCUCACCGAACUGGGCUCUUCUGUCCUCUAGGUGUAUACGGAUUUGUUCUUGUUCAGCUCCUGUCAAGUCACCUACUCUAGCUGCCUAAAAGUUCUCUCUACCCUGGCAUCACAAUUGAAUCAUAGACAGCUAGGUAUGUCAGUGGUUCUCUGCCUUCCUGAUGUUGUGGCCCUUUGAUAUAAUUCCUUGUGUUGUGGUGACCCCAACCAUAAAAUUAUUUUUAUUGCUGUUUCAUAAAUGUAAUUUUGCUAUUGUUAUAAAUUGUGAGUAUUCAUGUUUUCUAAUGAUCUGUGGGGACUCCUGUGAAAGAGUCAGUCAACUCCCAAAGGGGUUUCGACCCAAAGUUUGAGAACUGCUGAUGUAAAUAAAUGGUUGGA
rnacentral:lncRNA from 1 species